rnacentral:rRNA from 1 species
GGGGAAUAUUGGACAAUGGGGGCAACCCUGAUCCAGCAAUGCCGCGUGUGUGAAGAAGGUCUUCGGAUUGUAAAGCACUUUCGACGGGGACGAUGAUGACGGUACCCGUAGAAGAAGCCCCGGCUAACUUCGUGCCAGCAGCCGCGGUAAUACGAAGGGGGCUAGCGUUGCUCGGAAUGACUGGGCGUAAAGGGCGUGUAGGCGGUUUACACAGUCAGAUGUGAAAUCCCCGGGCUUAACCUGGGAGCUGCAUUUGAUACGUGUAGACUAGAGUGUGAGAGAGGGUUGUGGAAUUCCCAGUGUAGAGGUGAAAUUCGUAGAUAUUGGGAAGAACACCGGUGGCGAAGGCGGCAACCUGGCUCAUGACUGACGCUGAGGCGCGAAAGCGUGGGGAGCAAACAGGAUUAGAUACCCUGGUAGUCCACGCUGUAAACGAUGUGUGCUAGAUGUUGGGUAACUUUGUUAUUCAGUGUCGCAGUUAACGCGUUAAGCACACCGCCUGGGGAGUACGGCCGCAAGG